AUACAUAAACUGUUGAUGAAUUACUAAUUCAAAACUCACCGUUUCAACUGUUCCCACCACGCACCGUUUCAAUUGUUUCCACCAUGCACCGUUUCAAUUGAUUUUACAGAUCCUGCCUCUAAUCCUCCCAAAAUUUGACAUCCCUCCAACUCUACACAAUGAUUCAAAAUGUUUUCCUUUUUCUUUUAUUUUUCAUUCUUUUCUGUUUGUCAAUUUCCUUUGUAGGAUUUUAUGUUACGUUAUUUCUGCUAUUUCAUUCCUUUAAGCUGUUUCUAUAUGAGAUUUUCUUAAGAUUCAUAAGUGUUUCUAUACGUAAAGUCAGUGGCUUGCCCUUUUCCCACGUUUUCCCCCAAAAUAAAACUCUUGCUCUCUUGCUCUUGCUCCACCGUCCGAAAGCACUUGAGGUUUUAUACAUGGUGUUCUUGCUGAAGCUGUUCAAUGAUAAUUUUUAGAGGGUUGGUUUUUAAUUUAUCUAUGUGAAGGAGCACUGAGCAUUUACAUACUCUGCUUGUGAAACCUUGAUGGAGAUAUUGAUUUGAAAGGAUAUAUGAUAUAUUCCAGUGGAAAUGUUUGUAGAAAAUUAUAAUAUUUUGGGACACUGUAUUAAUGCUGAAUUUAUAAAUAGAAGAUAACAAUAGAAGCAAUAGAUAUAUAUAUAAAGGGGCUUUGAACAUGUGGAGAUGAGAGGCAGCUAAGAGAGCAUGGUGUUAUCAUUUCUCUCCUCAGACCUUUGCUGAAAGUCUUGGGAUUGAAGGCAGGGAUCUUAAUCAUGGCUUUGAGGAAGUAUUAAUCCUGCCUGUAAUUGCAGUGAGUGCAAUAAAGCUUUAUUUAUAUAUAUAUAUAAAUAAAAGUGAGGGGGAGUGAGUUUCUUUUAAGCAAAAUCUUGUAUUGAGGGAUAGCUGCAAAAAAAGUUUGGAUGAAAAGAAGAAUAAAUAAUUAAAGUCAAGAGAGAGGGUGGGGGAUUGUUGAAGCUCCUCUCUCUCUCUUUCUUUAUUUCUUUUAAAGAUGGAAACUUGAAAUAGUAAAGAGGAAAAAAAAACUGAGAAAAGUUGCUUAGAUAAAAGCAAAGGAGGUGGUGUGUGUAUAUGUGGGUGUCACCAGCUUCUUGGGUCUUCUUCUUCUUCUUCUUCUUUACCUAUCUCACCUUGUUAUGGAGUUUCAAGCACCCAUUCUUGGACCCCAACUACUGCUUUUAUAUAAAUGCUCAGUGCUCUUAGUCAUCAAAACAUGGAGGAGAAUUUGGCAAGAUAUAUCUGCAGUAUCUUACAAGAUAACCAGCAGAACUCUGAGGUUCUAGUACAGGAUGUUUAAUAUAUUCGUGCAUAGUUGCUGCCAAGUUUGAAAGAUGCCUAGAGGUUGAUCAGCUAAUUGGAAAAGAUCAUCUUUUCAAACGUAGUAUUAUUUUGAUCAAGGCCUGGUGCUAUUACGAGAGCCGGAUCCUUGGUGCACACCAUGGCUUGAUUUCUACAUAUGCAUUAGAAACAAUGAUUUUAUAUAUCAUUAAUGUCUUUCAUUCAUCCUUAUUUUGUUCUAUUUGUAUUUUGUUAGAUUUCUGGUGUAGUAUGAUAAGUGCGGUAUUUUGUUUGGCGGGAUGUAUUUAUAUCAUAGAUUAUUCUUCUUCUCAAUAUUUUGAUAAUGAAUUUUAAUUUUUUUAUA